rnacentral:rRNA from 1 species
GGAAUUUUCCGCAAUGGGCGAAAGCCUGACGGAGCAACGCCGCGUGAGGGAUGAAGGCCUCUGGGCUGUAAACCUCUUUUAUCAAGGAAGAAGAUCUGACGGUACUUGAUGAAUAAGCCACGGCUAAUUCCGUGCCAGCAGCCGCGGUAAUACGGGAGUGGCAAGCGUUAUCCGGAAUUAUUGGGCGUAAAGCGUCCGCAGGCGGUUUUGUAAGUCUGUUGUUAAAGCGUGGAGCUUAACUCCAUUUCAGCAAUGGAAACUGCAAGACUAGAGUGUGGUAGGGGCAGAGGGAAUUCCCGGGUGUAGCGGUGAAAUGCGUAGAUAUCGGAGACACCGGGUGGGCGAAGCGCUCUGCUGGGCAUACCUGACGCUCAUGGACGAAAGCCAGGGGGAGGCGAAAGGGGGUAUACCCCUGUAGUC